GAGAAGCUUCUUGUCACCUGAGCUCUGCUUCAUCUGACACUGACUUCUUAGGUGGCCCAGAAAAAUCCCUGAACUUUUUGCUUGAAUCUCAGCUGACAAAGUAGCUGGGUGAGCCUCUCUCAGCCGGUGCUGGCGUUCCCUGCUGCAUUCCCUGGCUUCCUCGAGAAGCAAUGGAAGAGCACAUGCUUUCCGAUUAUGUGGGAAGAUGUCUGAGGAGGAGCAAACCUGCGCGUCUGAGACUCUGAGGAUAGACUGAGGUACUUUGUGAUAAGUAGUGUACUCUAGGGAAAGCUUUUAAUAAAAUGAUUAAAUAUUGACUACCA
rnacentral:lncRNA from 1 species